GAUGAACGCUAGCUACAGGCUUAACACAUGCAAGUCGAGGGGAAACGACAUCGAAAGCUUGCUUUUGAUGGGCGUCGACCGGCGCACGGGUGAGUAACGCGUAUCCAACCUGCCCACCACUUGGGGAUAACCUUGCGAAAGUAAGACUAAUACCCAAUGAUAUCUCUAGAAGACAUCUGAAAGAGAUUAAAGAUUUAUCGGUGAUGGAUGGGGAUGCGUCUGAUUAGCUUGUUGGCGGGGUAACGGCCCACCAAGGCAACGAUCAGUAGGGGUUCUGAGAGGAAGGUCCCCCACAUUGGAACUGAGACACGGUCCAAACUCCUACGGGAGGCAGCAGUGAGGAAGAGUGGUCAAUGGACGAGAGUCUGAACCAGCCAAGUAGCGUGCAGGAAGACGGCCCUAUGGGUUGUAAACUGCUUUUAUAAGGGAAUAAAGUGAGUCUCGUGAGACUUUUUGCAUGUACCUUAUGAAUAAGGACCGGCUAAUUCCGUG
rnacentral:rRNA from 1 species